AGUGAACGCUGGCGGUAGGCCUAACACAUGCAAGUCGAACGGCAGCACAGUAAGAGCUUGCUCUUACGGGUGGCGAGUGGCGGACGGGUGAGGAAUACAUCGGAAUCUACUUUUUCGUGGGGGAUAACGUAGGGAAACUUACGCUAAUACCGCAUACGACCUACGGGUGAAAGCAGGGGAUCUUCGGACCUUGCGCGAUUGAAUGAGCCGAUGUCGGAUUAGCUAGUUGGCGGGGUAAAGGCCCACCAAGGCGACGAUCCGUAGCUGGUCUGAGAGGAUGAGCAGCCACACUGGAACUGAGACACGGUCCAGACUCCUACGGGAGGCAGCAGUGGGGAAUAUUGGACAAUGGGCGCAAGCCUGAUCCAGCCAUACCGCGUGGGUGAAGAAGGCCUUUGGGUUGUAAAGCCCUUUUGUUGGGAAAGAAAAGCAGCAGGUUAAUACCCCGCUGUUCUGACGGUACCCAAAGAAUAAGCACCGGCUAACUUCGUG
rnacentral:rRNA from 1 species